rnacentral:rRNA from 1 species
AGUGAACGCUGGCGGUAGGCCUAACACAUGCAAGUCGAACGGCAGCACAGUAAGCUCUUUCUCUUACGGUUGGCGACUGGCGGACGGGUGAGGCAUACAUCGCCUUCUACUUUUUCUUGGGGGAUUACGUAGGGCCACUUACGCUAAUACCUCAUACUUCCUACCGCUUAAUUCUGUGGUUCUUCUUACUUUUCGCGUUUCAUUUAGCCGAUGUCGGAUUAGCUAGUUGGCUUGGUAAAGGCCCACCAAGGCGACGAUCCGUAGCUGGUCUGAGAGGAUGAUCAGCCACACUGGAACUGAGACACGGUCCGGACUCCUACGGGAGGCAGCAGUGGGGAAUAUUGGACAAUGGGCGAAAGCCUGAUGGAGCAAAACCGCGUGAGUGAAGAAGGACUUCGGGUUGUAAAGCACUGUUGUUGGGAAAGAAAAGAAGCAGGAGAAUAAGCGGAUGUACUGACGGUACCAAAAGAAAAAGCAACGGCUAACUACGUG